rnacentral:rRNA from 1 species
GACGAACGCUGGCGGCGUGCCUAAUACAUGCAAGUAGAACGCACAGUUUAUACCGUAGCUUGCUACACCAUAGACUGUGAGUUGCGAACGGGUGAGUAACGCGUAGGUAACCUGCCUGGUAGCGGGGGAUAACUAUUGGAAACGAUAGCUAAUACCGCAUAAUAUUAAUUUUUGCAUGAUAAUUAAUUGAAAGGUGCAAUUGCACCACUACCAGAUGGACCUGCGUUGUAUUAGCUAGUAGGUGAGGUAACGGCUCACCUAGGCGACGAUACAUAGCCGACCUGAGAGGGUGGUCGGCCACACUGAGACUGAGACACGGCCCAGACUCCUACGGGAGGCAGCAGUAGGGAAUCUUCGGCAAUGGGCGAAAGUCUGACCGAGCAACGCCGCGUGAGUGAAGAAGGUUUUCGGAUCGUAAAGCUCUGUUGUAAGAGAAGAACGGGUGUGAGAGUGGAAAGUUCACACUGUGACGGUAUCUUACCAGAAAGGGACGGCUAACUACGUG